CUUCAGGAAAAGGAAGCGUGAGGAGAAUAAGGGGAAAUAUAUUAAGAAACCUCCCAACGCGUUUAUGCUUUUCCUAAAAAGCGAGAGGAAGACUGUGCAGGAAGAGCUCGGCAUUAGGAACAGUGCCGCCGUCAACAAAGUUCUUUCUGAACGCUGGAAGUCUUUGGAGGCAAACAAAAGAGAGCUCUUUGAAGCAGAAGCCCAAAUAGAAGCUCAUAUCCAUGCUUUGAAGAACCCCGGCUGGACCAACAAAGCGAACUACGUAAGUCUACUCAAUCUUAGAGGUGAUGACAUCAUGACUGUGGAAGUGUUUUAUCAGCUGACUAGAAUUUUCACGUGUCUGAUUUUAGGGGAAAAAGAGUAAAAAAUCAAAGACUAAAGCUCCACCUCUGCCUCCACCCUCCUGCUGAUGGGAAUGUGUAAUGAACAUCACUAACAUACUAACGGUAAGUAUCAUUACUCAAAACAUCACUUCAUUUUAUGAUGAUUUUAUUUCAAAUUAGUUUUUCCACAAAU
rnacentral:lncRNA from 1 species